AAUGAUGAUCGGGAGUGACUGGGUGUUAAAUUCGAAUAUGCAAGGAAGUGGAAGAGCUGGAGUCCAUCUCUGCUUGCGUAUAAGAUUAGGUAUGGCGUAUGGAAGAUGUGGAGUUUAAACGGGCCAUGACGAAAUAUUAUGAGCCCAGACAAAUAACCAUUUUCUUAUAUUUGACUGAAGCAAAUGUGACAUGGCAAAAUAGAAAGUUUUUAUUG
rnacentral:lncRNA from 1 species